rnacentral:rRNA from 1 species
UACGGAGGGUGCAAGCGUUAUCCGGAUUCACUGGGUUUAAAGGGUGCGUAGGCGGGCAGGUAAGUCCGUGGUGAAAUCUCUGAGCUUAACUCAGAAACUGCCAUGGAUACUAUUUGUCUUGAAUAUUGUGGAGGUAAGCGGAAUAUGUCAUGUAGCGGUGAAAAUGCUUAGAUAUGACAUAGAACACCAAUUGCGAAGGCAGCUUACUACACAGUUAUUGACGCUGAGGCACGAAAGCGUGGGGGAUCAAACAGG